ACCGCACUCGCAAACGUAGACAUGGCCGACGCGAGUCAAAGGGUAGUAUCUGUUUCUAUCAGCUUAAUUGUGAUACGUGUUGUAUUUGAACGUAAGAUAUUAAACUUAUUUUUGCUAGUUGGCGGAGUGCUCAAAGCCUGCUUCACCUCCGCCGCGGAUCGGCCCCGUAUUGCACUAUCUUCGGUAAUGGCCCACGUAUG